rnacentral:lncRNA from 1 species
GUAUGCACUGCGAAGCCGAGUUUCGCCCCACAGGUGGCCUCAACAGGUGCGCGGCAGGUCCUUGAGCGCCGCCCCCAUCGCAGUGUCCCCCGAGCCCCGUCCACUGGCCUCCGUGACCCGCGGCCACACUCCCGCACGGGCUGCCGGUCCGCGCGCCGCGGAGCCGGGAGGGGGCCCGGCAGGUGUCCGCCCUCGGGGCCGCCCGCCGCCGGGCCGCGCAUCGCGCCUGCGCCCCGCGCCUGCGCACAACCCCCCCGCCGGCGCUCCGCGGGGGGCGGGGCCGCGGGAGAGGGAGCUGCGGGGGCACGGGCCGAGGCCUGCAGUUACCCGGAUGUGGUCGCCGUGCGCGCAUGCUCCGUGGCCUCCCGACAAGUUGGCAGCAACAACACGGCCCUGGUCGUCGUCGCCGCUGCGCUAGCGGAGCGGCUCGGGUGGCGGGGCCCGCGUUGGCGCCCGCGCGCCGUCCUCGGGAGGCCUUGCCCGCCGGUCCUUCAGCGGCGCGGCCGCCCGGCGGCGGGAGCGGCUAGGGGAGCCGGGCGCCCCGCGACCGAGGGCCCCCCCCGCGGGGCGGCCCGGGAGCUCGAGGCGGCCGGCGGGCGGCGGCGGCGGCGGCGGCGAGGAGGGGCGGGGGCGCGGGGGGAGCGGUGGCCCGCGGACGGGCGGCGGCGGCGGCGGCGGCGGCGGCGGCGGCGGCGGCGGCGGCGGCGGCGGAGCCCAGGUAACGGCCCCGUGCCCUCCCCUUCCCCGGCCGGGCCCGCGCCCCCCCACCCCCGGGCUUCCCCGCCCCGGGGCGGGCUCGGGCGGCCGGUGCGUGCGUGUGCGCGUGCGCGUGCGUGUGCGCGGGGGGCGGGGCGGGGGCCGGGGGGCGGGGGGCCUCGCGCCUCGCGUCCCGGGCCCAGCGCCCCCGCGCCUCCGCGCCCCCGCGCCCGCCGCGGCUCCCCUGCCGUCGCCGUCGGUCUUUGUUGCUCCGAGGACUUGCGCCCGCCGCCCCCGCCGAGCGCGCCCGAAGUUUCCCGUCUCGGGGACACGUCGGUGCCGCCUUUGUCCUCCACUUUCCCUUCCUGCCGGGGCCGCUCCGGCGCUCGCCUCGGCCUGCGCUGGGCGCUCUCGCGGCUCGGGAGCGGGCGGGCGGCGGGGGGGAGCCCUCCCGCUGACCUGCGCGCGCCCCUCCCCCGCACCCCUCCAUCCCUCCCCCCUCUCCUGAUGAGCACCCGGCCGCCCCCCCAGCCUCCAUCCCUCCACCUCUCCACCCCGCCCCUCCACUCCACCUCUCACCCCCCCAUCCCUCCACCCCCCACCCUUCCACCCCUCCACCCCUCAAUCCUUCCCCUAAUCAGCUCCCGGCCGCCCCCCACCCCACCCCACCCCACCCCACCCCACUCCCAAUGA